rnacentral:tRNA from 1 species
AAGGACUUAAGUUAAAUAAACUAAUAACCUUCAAAGUUAUAAAUAAAAGAAUAAUCUUUUAGGCCUUA